UAAAACAUUACCUCUUCUUGUAUGUACAAAAGACUUCUAAAUACACCGAAAGAUUUUAGAUAGGAAAAUAAUACAUAAUAAAGAGGAAACACGGUACGAUUAGUCUUCUAAUGAAUAUACAACUCGAAAAUGAAGUAUUAGAAGUACCCUUCAAGUCACGAAGUAUUUAUAAAAAAUAACGGUAAAAAACUUAAAGUCAAGUGCAGUACCAAUAGAACUGAAAGUCCUAACAACCAACGUCGUAGUCUCUUUCCAUCCAGUGUUCGACAUCCACGUACCGUUGAAGUUACCAAUCUCUGGGGUCUAGACCCUCUCCGUCACGACUAACUCCCCCCGUCGACCUUCUGCAGUACGAAUUCGAAACCAUACUCUAUAUACACUAAAACAGUUCGGCCAGAAGGUUUUGACUUUCCUCAAAAGACAGAUACUUCGUCCGCAGAACCCUACUAAUAGCCUAAGGUAAGUUAAUGAAAAUCUACUACGGGUAGUAGAAAAACACGUCAAGUACAACCGUUGGAACGAUCUCCUAUGACAGGCACGUUACUAUAUUCGAACGAUUUCCUUUGGGUACACUCCAACCUCGUACCUCACGUAUCGGAACGAGCGCAGACGAAUCCGGGAUAUUCGGCCAAGGCACCCAUAAUCUACGGGACUCUCACCUACGUCCUGUGAACUAAGCAGACAGACCACACACGGUUGAAGUUUCACAUCUCUGGGGUUCGUCUACUCCGUACCGAAUAACUCUCCCCCGUCGACCUUCUCAACCGCUGGGUUGCUGGACCUUGUAGUUGUGAAGUUUGAAAAGUAUCCUCCAUAUACACUAAAACAGUUCGGUAAGAGGGUUUUACAGAUACUUCGUCCGCUGAACACUACUAGACACCUACGGCAAGUUAACGAAAUUUUGGUGCGGGUAAUAGAAAAACACGUCAAGUACAAUCGUGGGAACGAUAACACGAACGUAUAACUCCUAUGACGGACACACUACUAUAUCCGAACGAUUUCCUUUGGGUACAGUCUGAAGUAUUAGAUCUCUGAGCAUGUAAGGACAGAUCGGAAUCUGUAUACAAGGUGACAGUGUUUUUUACCGCGACUGUAAAGAUUUUGUUUGACACUCGACGUAAUCGAAGUCAGCGUGAGUAGUGACUUAAGUAGCCUCGGGGGUGAAGGAAGGUACUAAAACGCCAGACAACUUAACCACUAAUCAAGUGAACCUGAUUAGUACUAUCAUGUCUUGAUUUAUAGACAUCUUUUGUACGGGUCAUAGAGUUUCUUGAAGGAGGUUACAAUACCUCCAUUUGGAACUAUCGGCACGUCCAUUUAUUUGACUCCACCGCACACCUAAAAAGGGGUAGUGUGAGAUUAAGCAACCAUACUGGACAGUCGAUAGGAUACAUCUUAUACGUACAAGAAAGUCGUAACGAUUUGGACGUAGCUUGAUUUAACCGAUGUUAUACAGGGUGAGGUACUACGACGAACACUAGAACUACACUUGCUCGAUGUGAUACAGGGUGAGGUACUACGACGAACGCUAGAACUACACUUGCUCGAUGUCAUACAGGGUGAUAUCAUCAUACAAUGAUCUAGAUAGUCCCUACAAUACAUUGAGUUCUUCCACAACGAAUAGGAAACGUUCAAGAAUUUAAUAAAGCGCCGCGACCGAAAACAAACGAGGAAGACGAGUAGUAGAUAUAACAAACAACACAGUCCAAACUCGUACGUCACAUGUCGGAACGAGCACACACUCUACUGAGAUAUUCGGCCAUGGCGACCAUAGUCAAGGGGACUCUCCCCUAUGUACUGACCUAAGCAUUCAGCAAGAGAUCGUGCUCUGUCUGUCUCUCUGUACGGUAUAGUUAGUAAACCUGUGUGUAUUACGAUGUAUACAACAAUCUUGAAUCGGGGACAUACCUUCCGCGGAUAGAUCUUGUUAUAACGAGAGUACGAGGCAAGACGUAAAUCCCGAGUUUAGACGUUGUGAGACUAGUAGUAUAACCGGGACCUGGAAAAGAAAAUCAUUCAUAAUGACAUAAUCUCAUUGGUCUUAUAAAUCUCGCGAAACUUCCUUUGUUUACCGUAGUUCCGUAAAUCCUACUAAGAUCGGACCGGUUGUAGAUUUAUAUCCAGGAUCUAUGAUCUAACAAUAUAUACAUCGUCUACUUAAAACUCAUCCUAUCCUAUAAGACUCAACUGACUAUGAGAAACUGCAUAAAUCUAAACUUUCUGUAAGAAACAGCAACAUUCAUUUUUUCUAUAGUGUAACCUGAAUUUUACAUGAGGGAGGCAAACAAAAAUAUUCUGCAAGUCUGUUGAACGAAACACGACAAAAACUUGUCACAGACUUUCAGAUUUUGCAGAAUAUUUUUGUUUGUCUCCAUCAUAUGCCAUUGUAUUAAAACAACCAGUCCAUCCCAAUUUUUACAACUUGUCUAAUGGUGGAGGUUAAUACGGUAUGUCGUAUCUCCAUUCGUCGACAACCUCCAGUAACCGGACAUGUCAUACACCUACCCGUGUACCGUAGAUUAUCAUCAACGUGACAGGAUAUCAACUUGAUCAUUUGUAAACUAGAAUCGACCGUAUACCCACUCAUGAUCAUGUUACGUACGUACGAUCCGAGACUGGCAGAACUAGUACCUACUAGAGAUAUGUUCUUAUUUCCCAUUGCGCCACGUACACCAUUGUUGACAAUUGUGAAUGUUUAUAAGUCGUUCACCUACUUUUGGUUUGGCUGGCCCGAUCUUCAGUUGACGAUUGAGGUAUUUAUGGUGAUCACGCCGUUACCGGUUGUAUGAGGUCGUCCACACUCUUCGUCUUAAUCGCCGUCCGUUGUUUUCGAGAGUAGUUGAGGUCAUCUUCUUUCGGCACGACCUUUAUACUGCUACCUCCGGUGAGGAGAGGACUGAGGUAUGUUCUACCCGUUUAAGUUGGAGCGCGUGUCCCAACAAGAACGAGGACACUGCGCCACGUCCAGCAUACCCUUGUACCGGGUCGGCGUGUUACGCGACAUGAUGCGCGUCUCCCGCCGCGGCCCGCAGCAGGAGUAGCGUCUCCGGUCGCGCCACAGCUUCUACCGUGGUUCCAUGGGCGGGCACGGGCCGGACACCUCGGUCCUCGUCCACCUCCGGACCUUCCGACAUCAGCUACGGCACGUGCGGUUCCCGCGGGAGAAGAAGACGGUCUAAACCGUAUGUCCGUCGCAGAGCGGGUGACCCAACCUGCGGGGAGUCCCAACCUUCGUGUCCUCUAUGGGGCUUACCACUUACUGAAGGCGUGACGACGUUCUUUACGGUAGUUUCGGCCAAAGCUGCCACACCUCUAAGUACGGUGGUUACCCAACGACUAGUUGGUCAAGACCACCAAGUAUCUAUUGCUUUCCAGGUUGAGAGUCGGAGAUGUUGCGGCACUGGUCGAGUAGUUCCGGUAGCGGCCAAACGGUGGCUCUGGUAGUGGCGGCAACGACUGCUCCACCCACGCGUGGCGGUACCGCACGCGGAGAGGGGUCAUCGGCUGAUGCUGAGCCUGGGCCUCCGCGAGGGUGACGUGCACCAGGCGGAGUACUUGCUCGAGCCGCAGGAGAUGACGGUGUACCACCUCGGCUCCUUGCCCUGGGACACGUCGGAAGACGGAAAGUCCUUCCGCAAGUUUCCAUGUAAGUAGCACUUGCCCCCAAUGCUGUCCCUCCCUCCUCUACACCGACAGCCGCUACCGAUACGGCUAGACCAGAGCAUGCCCGCCGAGAAGGACCGCUUGGGGCUGGACGGCCUCGCCAAGUCCUUCUCCCGCCCGGACUUGCUCAUACUGGCCUCGUGCAAGAUGUGGAGGCUAGGCCACCAGCCGAUGUGCCUGAUGGGAAAGGAACGAGUCCCCGUCCCCUGUGCUCAAUCGAUUAACUGGAGGCUAGGGCGGCCGGUGUGAACAAGUUCCCACAGUCAACAAGAACUAAGUCUAGUAGUCCGCUCAGCUCUAGUUGAUCGAACUGCCACACGUCUAACGCGCUGAUCUAAACAGCAUCGGCAGAAAACAAUAAACUCACGGUUACCAACGAGCCGCUCAAUGAACAAAGAGUCCAAUAACAAAAGUCACGACCGAUUUGCAUUAGGACACUUUUUUUGUGAGGUUCAACAGAUCUGAACUAUGAAGACACGUUGAGAGACCAAAUUGAGUUAUCUCAAGGUCAUCAUGCUUCACGACUACUAGAGAAAAGUCUCGUUCCGAUGAAUAGUCGACUCAUGUUCAUCACCUCUAACCAAGCGAACGAACACAAUAAGUUCUAAGUUGUUGUUAAGCCAACUUAAUUGGCAGCCGAAGCUUUCAAGCUGGGUUGACUAACAAACUUUCAUUAUACGAAGUUUUAGCGGUAAGCUGUGUUUAUACCAUUCACGGAUUAGUUCAUAGUAGCACAAAGUACGAACUUUACGUCCUGUUGAGAAAAAGCCAUUUUCGUCCUACUAACUAAGUUUAUAAGGAUGGUGUAGUUUCGGUGUAUUUUGUGUCAGAUGGCUUACGCUGCUCUCGUCCGGCAUGGCUAUGUUCACCCGCGUACACUCCUCGAAACCGCUGGUGGGGGACGAAUACUCGAGGCGCACGAGAUACCGCCAAGUAUACGGUCGAAGAUCACCCGUAGCGCGACCCCACCUGUACUUGAUGUAGAUGAUGGGGCUCGUUAUAAGCAGCAGGAAGCUUCCACUAGGUACAUGAGGACCCGUUGUUCAUGUACGUAGUGUACCCUACCUAAUACAGUACCCACAUGGCAAUGACACU
rnacentral:rRNA from 1 species